ensembl:lncRNA
CUUGUGAUUUAGUGUUUUGGGUUUCAUUUUGUGGUUUUAUUUUUUAUUUAUUUUAUUUUAUUUUUGCUAUGGUUAGAACCUAGGGCCUACAUGGGCAGCAAAUAUUCUAUCACUGAACUUUCCUUCCUCUGACCUAGAAGUUUGGGAAGGUGGAUGUGGGCAUGAUUGAGGAGUGGUUCCUAAUUAAAUUGUCUUUAAAUUAUAUAAUUCACAGGCUAAUUUUCUUCACAUAGAAACAAGACUCAGUCUAUAAUACCAAAGAAUACAGGGAGAAAACAAAUAUUAAUAUUCAUGCGGAUGGCCAAGUAUAGUAUUCAAAGGGUACUCUUAAUUUUCAUUAUACCAGUUUUAUGUGCAAGAAUGGUAUUUUUAAUGUGUAGAUUCUUAAUGUUAAAGGAUUCUGAAGUAUAUUUGCCAAGCAGCCACAUUGAUAUCCAAUGAAAAAUUACAAUCAGAUUAUUUUCAUAUUCUAUAGUUUUUAUUUUUAAACUUAUAUGUGAUUUAAGGGAAAUUUUCAUCAGUCUCAGUAAUAUCAGCAUCUCUGGGGGACCUCUCAAAGAUUCAUUUAUGAUAUUAUAGAGUGAUUUAUCCUCAGAAAUGAGAGACUUGUUUUUAGUGGGGAAUGAGAUCUGGGCUUUUGGUUUUUGGUUUUGUUGUUUUUGUUUGUUUGUUUGUUUGUUUUUUUGAGAUACCUUGUUUUGUUUACUUUCCUUUAGGGAUGACUAAAUUGAAACUCUGUGUGUGUGUGUGUGUGUGUGUGUGUGUGUGUGUGUGUGUGUGUGUGUGUGUACACAUACACAUCUAUAUAUGUUUUAUAUAGAGAAAGAACAUUGAAUCCCUCUCCUUACUUUUUUAACUGCCAGGUUUAAAGGUAGCCUUCUAAGUACAGUAAUUAGUUAAACAUCUUUUUUUCUUCCUGGGUUUCUUUUUAGGAACUACUGACAAAACCUAUAGCUGCCUUUUGGAUAUGGCUUUAUAACUCAGCAACUAAAAGAUGAGUUCUAAUUGCCAGACUUCUGGCACUGGCAUUGUCCUCCUGUUUCUAUAGAAACUGGGUUGGAAGUCAGAGCUGCACAGAGGGAAAGGGCUAGUCUCAAGCUGUUGACAGUCCUGCCUCACCCUUCAGAAUGCUGAAUGUAUCACCACACUACUACUAAGAUAUCACUGCUCAUUGUUUUCUGAUUGAAAAAUUUGUAGUGUAAUGGCUUCUGCUGAAGUGGAUCUGUGUUGGAGCCUCAUUAUGUAGUAGUACUCAGGCUGGAAUGGGACUCAAAGAUCCUCCUGUGUCAGAGUUCAGAAAUUCCAGGUAACACCAGUAGGUUUGUCUUUCUGCUUUGUUUUCUAUGUAUGAGUGUCUUGUCUGUCCACCUGUCUGCAUGUAUUUCUGUGUAUCACAUGUGUGCCUGGUGCCUAAGUAAGCCAAGAGAGGGCAUCAGCUUUCCUGGGACUGGAGUUACAGAUGAUUGUAAACUUCCAUGUGGGUUCUGGGAAUUGAACUUAAGUCCUUUGGAAGAGCAGCUAGUGCUCCAGCCCUAAAGGUUCAUCUUCUUAAUUGACUUUUCCUAUAUUUCUUAGUGAUUCUAGGCAAUGCUAAUUAUCCCUAACACACACACCCCACUCCCCA